rnacentral:misc_RNA from 1 species
GCAUCGAUGAAGAACGCAGCGAAAUGCGAUAAUUAAUGUGAAUUGCAGAAUUCAGUGAAUCAUCGAGUCUUUGAACGCACAUUGCACCCCCUGGUAUUCCGGGGGGUAUGCCUGUCCGAGCGUCAUUGCUGCCCUCAAGCACGGCUUGUGUGUUGGGUCGUCGUCCCCCCGGGGACGGGCCCGAAAGGCAGCGGCGGCACCGCGUCCGGUCCUCGAGCGUAUGGGGCUUUGUCACCCGCUCUUGUAGGCCCGGCCGGCGCUGGCCGACGCUGAAAAGCAACCAACUAUUUCUCCAGGUUGACCUCGGAUCAGGUAGGGAUACCCGCUGAACUUAAGCAUAUCAAUAAGCGGAGGA